GUAGGUUUCCUGCGUUAACGCUUCCGUAAUUAAAAAAAUAUACUCGAAUUCAAUUUUCUAUAUAUUUUCCUGAAGAAAAUAAUGUUCAGUUCCAGAAUAAGGUUCUUUGAUAAAGAAUGCCCUACCAAAAAAAUCAAGCACUCUAAAAACGAUCUUUAAACUGAUGCACUAAACAUGAAAGAUACUGCUUAUCUGAUGACGUCAUUUAAGUCGGAAGACAUCUGACCUGUGCCUAUUUUAACUCAUAUCAUGGGCGUGUUGCCUGCGCUAUAUUUGCAUUUGCUUAAUGCGAUAAGAUGAAUGAGGAGAGAGAAAUCCCUCGCCACAGGAGAACAGCUUCUGAAGAGCAGGUGGGGCAAAGUCAACAUCUACUGAUCUAAUGAUGCCCAAGUCUCCCAGUCUGCGUGUAACCAAAGGUCCCCAUCGCAUACCGGCAAUUAACUCCCCAGGCGGGAGCAGCUGAUAGACGAGUCUAUUAUUAUAAUCUGCCAAGCGCUGCAGGUUGGAAGAAUAUGGAAACGUCUGGAAAAAAUCCGUAAUAUAUUCUUACUGUUCUAAUAGGCAUCAGUUGAUUAGAUUGUGAUGAGUUUGGUUAUAACACUACAUGUAAAAUAGAAAUAUAUACAUAAAAUUACAGAAAAGUUUUUAGAUAUGCAACAGUUAAAAUUUGCCAGGGAACAAUGAUGUCAUUGAGGCCCUGACAGUUACAUGGGUCUUAUGAUAAAUAUAUUGAUUCCUCCGCUGUUUGUUUGAGAUGCUCUAUUUUUCAUUGGUGUGUGGUGCUCUGAGACAGAAAUUGUUUUUAUUGAGGAUGGCUGAUUUUGUGCCUUGGUGUUAUUGAUAUUAUUAAGAUUAAUUUUGGUCCACGCGAUUAUCAUUUAAAAGGAUAAUAGCAUUGAUGGAUACUAUUCUUUCUCAGUCUUUGACAUUUAUAUAUUUAAUUGCCAUGUCGGCCACUACAGUCGUUUUAUAUUGCUUUCUGUGU